rnacentral:rRNA from 1 species
UACGAAGGGGGCUAGCGUUGUUCGGAUUUACUGGGCGUAAAGGGCGCGUAGGCGGAUUUUUAAGUCAGGGGUGAAAUCCCAAGGCUCAACCUUGGAACUGCCUUUGAUACUGGGGAUCUUGAGUCCGGGAGAGGUGAGUGGAACUGCGAGUGUAGAGGUGAAAUUCGUAGAUAUUCGCAAGAACACCAGUGGCGAAGGCGGCUCACUGGCCCGGAACUGACGCUGAGGCGCGAAAGCGUGGGGAGCAAACAGGG